AUGCCCCACCCGUAUGAUCUGCCAUAUGAACUAACGCCGGUGCUGCACACAGUGUGUGUUUACAUUAAAAAGCCUGCAGGGACCAGCUAUAGACACCAGAACCACUUCAUUAAGCUAUAGUGUCCCUUUAAUGUGAGGUAAAUUAUAGAUUAGUGUCACUAAUAAUAUACUAGAUUGCCUACUUACAAGCAGAUGAGGAUGAUGAUGAUGGGCUGCAGUUUGGCUCCACUGGUCUGGUGUAGAAC